UGGGGAAUAUUGGGCAAUGGAGGCAACUCUGACCCAGCAACGCCGCGUGAGGGAAGAAGGUUUUCGGAUUGUAAACCUCUGUCCUAGGGGACGAAGAAAGUGACGGUACCCUAGGAGGAAGCCCCGGCUAACUACGUGACAGCAGCCGCGGUAAUACGUAGGGGGCGAGCGUUGUCCGGAGUUACUGGGCGUAAAGGGUGCGUAGGCGGUUUGGUAAGUUAGAUGUGAAAUCCCCGGGCUUAACUCGGGAGUUGCAUUUAAAACUGCUGAACUGGAGUGCAGGAGAGGAAAGCGGAAUUCCUAGUGUAGCGGUGAAAUGCGUAGAUAUUAGGAGGAACACCAGUGGCGAAGGCGGCUUUCUGGACUGUAACUGACGCUGAGGCACGAAAGCGUGGGGAGCGAACA
rnacentral:rRNA from 1 species